UAAAGGGCAUGUUGGUCUCUUCUCCAUCCAACCUUGCUGGGGUUCACUCCUGACUUGUCUUUCAUGGUCUCUGGUGUCUCUGCCGCAGCCUAUUGUCCCGCUCUGACCUGUACAGGUCGUGGGAGUGUAGGAGGGACUCAGGGAGCCCCGGAAACCUAGAAAUGGGAACCUCAGCACCAUUACCACCUCACAGUCUCUGCAGGCAGGAUCUGAGCUGCGUUUACCUUGCUCCAGGAGAACAGUUUUGGAGAUCCUGGAUUAUCCUGUGACCGAAAUACUCCGAUAGAUCUAAGAAGAGAAGUUUAUUUCAUUUUUUAAAAAGA